rnacentral:tRNA from 1 species
GCGCCCUUAGCUCAGUUGGAUAGAGCAAUGGCCUUCUAAGCCAUAGGUCGUAGGUUCGAAUCCUACAGGGCGCG